GAUGAAGAACGCAGCGAAAUGCGAUAAGUAAUGUGAAUUGCAGAAUUCAGUGAACCAUCGAAUCUUUGAACGCACAUUGCGCCCCUUGGUAUUCCGAGGGGCAUGCCUGUUCGAGCGUCAUUAUCACCCUCAAGCUUUGCUUGGUGUUGGGGCCUGCUGUAAUAGGCAGCCCUUAAAAUCAGUGGCGGCGCCAUCUGGCUCUAAGCGUAGUAAUUUCUCUCGCUAUAGAGUCCCGGUGGAUGCUUGCCAGCAACCCCCAACUUUCUAUGGUUGACCUCGGAUCAGGUAGGGAUACCCGCUGAACUUAAGCAUAUCAAUAAGCGGAGGA
rnacentral:misc_RNA from 1 species